UACGUAGGGGUGCGAGCGUUUGUCCGGAAUUACUGGGCGUAAAGAGCUCGUAGGGUGGUUUGUCGCGUUUGUCCCGUGAAAAACUCACAACUCAAAUUGUGGGGCGUGCGGGGCGAUACGGGCAGACUGGAGUACUGCAGGGGGAGACUGGAAUUUCCUGGUGUAGCGGUGGGAAAUGCGCAGAUAUCAGGAGGGAACACCCGGUGGCGAAAGGGCGGGGACUCUGGGGCCCGAUACUGACGCUUGGAGGGAGCGAAAAGCGUGGGGAGCAAAACAGG
rnacentral:rRNA from 1 species